GCAUUGGAAGGCCCUUGGGGAAACACCUAGAACAGGUUACAUGCUUCUAAUUACAUUGGCAAAGACAAUGAUGAAAAAUACUUUGAAUCUGUAUGCUAGUGUGUUGAAUGUUUAAGGGCCCUGGUGUUGUGUCUUGUGUCUUUUAAGUCACUGAAAAAAAUCUUUCUUAUGCUUAGUAGCAGGGAAUUUUUUUCCAUCUUACUGAGACAUGGCGAUUCACAGAGGCUGAAAUAUCAGUGCAAAAUAGGGUGACCAAUUACAGGGGCAUACAUUUACGCAUAUCGUUAAAUUGUUUAUAUCACUAAUAAUGUGUGUUAAUGGGUGUGUUAAUAGCCUUAUGUAGAAGGUAUUGUUUUCACAGGUGCAUGAUUGUCAUGGGCAUCUGUCAUUAUAUCAUAAGCAGCAUUUCACUGCUGGGUAAGAAACGCUUCAGUGUCUGAGUGCAUGGAUGGAGAGACCAUCUGAUGGACUGAUUAUGUUUGAUGACUUUGUAUUUGGUUCUCUGUCUUGUUUGGAUGUAGGGUUUGUUGCCAUGGCACUCAACAGACAUUCCUGCUUGCCAGUGACAUGUCUUAAUUGUAACAAAACUAACCUGAGCAACAGCUUAGACAGUAAGAGACUCAUUUGCUGAAUUUGUUAAAGAAUUUAUUCACCAUGCUCAAAUACCAAUUUCCAACCUUUACACCUUUACAUCUCUUCCGAAAUAAACACAACAUGUGCAUACAAAUGAUGUUGUAUUAGAAUGUGUGGCUAUAAUAUGUUGCAUGUUUGUAAUGUGGCCGUGUGUUUCUAGAGAGUUGUCUUGGUCUGUGUGAGGGUGCCUCACAUUCCUGCAUCAAUGUUUCAGACGCUCUUCUAGCCUGCAUGAAAGAUUUCCGAGUGUGGCUGAACACCUUUUCGACUGAGAUCAACAAGGGGGAUAACUUCACAGUCACCUGCGAGCACAACCUCACUCUAGACCACAUUGAAGAAUUGAUUUGGCUUAAGGACAACGAACGUGUUCCUCGUCAGAACACACGCCAGUUGACCCUUGAGGACCUAAUCAUAAGUGUCACAGUGUCCUGCAAAAUACACAGUCAUUGUGGUGACUUCAUCUCAGGCACCAUGAAGAUUGAUGUUUCAGCAUAUGGGUCGCUGGGAGCUCCAGGCAGCGGCAAGGCGGUGUUGGUGGUGUUGCUGGGGGUGUGUUGCGUGAUUGCUGUUGCUCUGAUCGUUUUUAAUCGGGAUGGUGGUAAGGGUCAGGAUCAUUCGCCUCAGACUAGGACAUUUCAUAAAUUACAGCCGCAGUUGAGAAAAAAGGGAUUCAAGCAACAUGACAUGACACGAACAUGUAGCCGGGUCGGACGUCAGGGAGGGAUGUCAGUGUCAGUAGGGAUGUCCCUGAAUUUCUCCUCUAAAGUUGUGUUUCCCUUUCCAAGUUUGUGCAAUUUCCGUGUGUGCAUUUGUAUUUUCCCACACCUCUGCAGAUCCAGGUUCGGUAGUAGGGGGCAGGGGGUGUGCUGUAGGGAGGCCUGAGUUGGUUCCUACAUUAGGGAUUUCUUAAGUGCAUAUUACAAUUCUAAUGCUACUGUGAUUUCCAGACUGUCAGCCCCACUUCCCCGUUUUAAGAUGAUGGUAUGAUUUGUGUCUGUCAUCACGCAUGAUUGGUCGC
rnacentral:lncRNA from 1 species